rnacentral:tRNA from 1 species
CCGGGGGUCGCAUAGCGGUCAAUUGCUCGAGGCUGUAAACCUCGCGGGUCUAUCCCUACGUAGGUUCGAUUCCUACCCCCCGGACCA